CGCGUAGGCGGUCUUUUAAGUCGAAUGUGAAAGCCCUCGGCUCAACUGGGGAAGUGCAUCCGAAACUGAAAGGCUUGAGUACGAAAGAGGGUCGCGGAAUCCCGGUGUAGAGGUGAAAUUCGUAGAUAUCGGGAGGAACACCGGUGGCGAAGGCGGCGACCUGGGUCGAUACUGACGCUGAGGCGCGAAAGCGUGGGGAGGCAAAACA
rnacentral:rRNA from 1 species